rnacentral:rRNA from 1 species
CACGUAGGGCGCGAGCGUUGUCCGGAAUUAUUGGGCGUAAAGAGCUCGUAGGUGGUUUGCUACGUCCGCUGUGAAAACCUAGGGCUUAACCCUGGGCUUGCAGUGGAUACGGGCAGACUAGAGGUAGGUAGGGGAGAAUGGAAUUCCCGGUGUAGCGGUGAAAUGCGCAGAUAUCGGGAGGAACACCGGUGGCGAAGGCGGUUCUCUGGGCCUUACCUGACACUGAGGAGCGAAAGCGUGGGGAGCGAACAGG